rnacentral:snRNA from 1 species
AGCUUUGCGCAGUGGCAGUAUCUUAGCCAAUGAGGUCUAUCUGAGGCGUGAUUAUUGCUAAUUGAAAUUUUUCCCAAUACCCUGCCGUGAUGACCUGCAAUAUAGUUGGCAUUGGCAAUUUUGACAGUCUUUACAGAGA